UACGGAGGGUGCGAGCGUUGUCCGGAAUCAGUCGUGGGCGUAAAGGGCGGCUAGGUGGCGCGGGCAGAUCAACGGUGAAAGCUCGGGGCUCAACCCCGAGUCGGCCGUCGAUACUCCGUGCUUGAGCACUGUAGAGGCAGAUGGAAUUCCGGGUGUAGCGGUGGAAUGACGUAGAGAUCCGGAAGAACACCGGUGGCGAAGGCGGU
rnacentral:rRNA from 1 species